rnacentral:rRNA from 1 species
GACAACUUCCAUAUUACGUUCAAAAGUACCAGUUCUCGACCGAUCAUUGAAGUCAAGUGACGUUGAACAUGAUUAGUACUUGGAUGGGUGACCGCUUGCGAAUACCCGAGAGUGUGUCU